AAGACUUUAAUAUUUUUCUGAAUGUAUAAUCCUCUAGGAAAAAACUAAAAAGAAAAUAAAAACUAUGUUACAGAUCAAAAUACUAUCAAUAUACUAAAAUAUAAAUUAUAAGAUAUGAAGAUAAGAAGACAAGAAAAAACAGAAAAACUUAUCUCACAUUUAGCUAGUUUUUUGACGAUCUCUAUUACUAUAUAUAACGAUCUUCUCGUGUUUGCAUUAGAAGCUUGUAAUUAUCUCUGGGCUACCUCACGCGAUAAUUAGAAAAAGAGCGAAAACUUUACGCUUCGUCAUACGUCUGCGGAGUUUCUUAAUGAAGUUGAUCCUUUAAUUAACGUCGAGGAAAAUGAUAAAAAGGUAAAUGACAAAGGAGAAACUUUUCUCUCGUUACCGUAUCGUACGGGGAAAAGCAAAAAUGUAAAAAUAUACGAAAAUUGCGAAACGUAAUUGGAAUAGUAGAAAACAGAGGGUUUUCAUUAUAGAAAUACAAAGUUAUAUGAUGCGUGUUUAGAACAGAUAUUCAAUUUGAAUGCAUUCCAAGUAGCAGGUGAGGCAUGAUUCAUGACUCACGUCUAGCACGAAAAUUACUUGCGAAUCGAAUUACAUAUCGAAGAGUAGCUGAAGGAAAUUUAUUUCUGUUUUUAUGUCCUACUGCUUGAAAAUGAUCAAAGAAAUUAUCAUCAUCAUGUUGAAGAACAGUUUUGUAUUAUUUUUACGACAUAUGUUAUAUUAUUGAAUAUUUCGACGAGUCAAAGUAGAACAGAUAGUACUUGUAGAUUUAUGUCUAUCUAUUAUCCAUUUCUGUUGAUAAAUUAUUAUUGCAUUCAUUAUUUGACAGAAUCGAAUUGAUCUAUUGAAAAUUUGGCCGCCAUUAUUUGAGAGUUAAUUGUGCUUUUCAUCAUUCGCUACAAAUAGAUCAAUUCCGCGUAAUUAAAUUUAUAUUUUAUUUAUCACUAAUUUCACUCGUACGGAUGAUUAAUGAAUUUCUCUCGGAAGCGCAACGCCAGAUGAUACAGCUAUUUAUAAACAAACGCAUCGCGUCCAAAGCGCCGGCGUGGCUUUUGCAAAAUAAAAUACUUAUGAAACGCGCUCUGUCGGCGUGGAGUUGUUCGCGCGCUCGCAAUCUAACGAGGUAGGACGUGAGGUCUUUGAUGUGAAACGCGCGCGCCGACGCGGGAUGUAAGCGAGACCAGAAGUUACAUCGUGCAACAAUUACGCUCUUUUAAGCGUGACGACGCGACAAAAUGGCGGGGGCGAUGUAUCUCCUUUGUAACGUGAACUUCAGCAGUACGAAAGUUUUCGCGCUGCCGGGCAAAAACUUAGGGCUCGUUAAGAGGCGCGCAUUUGCAUGACAUUUAUCACAACUCCUGCGAGGACCUUUAAGAUACGUGCCAGCGGGACCGGGAUAAGGCCGGAAGGAUUAAUGAGGACGUCUUUCUCCCAACCUCUCUGUUGCCACGCUCGCACUUCGCACGGUGUUAAGACGAAAUAUAUAUUCGCCCGGCUCUUAACUCUUUGGUACUUUGGCGUCAUCUCUUCGGUUGGUAUUCUUGAAUUGUGUUGCUCUACGUGCGCCGGAAGUAUGCCGGGACCACCGCGAUGUGUAAGUGAUGCUCUUUUCCCCGGAGAAACAACGUGUGGCCAUUCACCGAUCUUAUCUCUAUUUUUAAUCAACGGCUGGAGGUAGAAAAAAGAAGGUACACAGCUUUCGCUCGACCACCAAGUAUGUACAGUAGUGAUUAUUAAAUCGAUUUUAUUAUUUUAUUUUUGCGAUGUCGGUAUAUCGAUAGAUCAACGUAACAUUAAUGGCGCCCUGAAAUAACAAGUAAAGAUAAAAAAAAUUAUUCGCUGAUGACACUACCUUUUUUUAUAAAGUGAAAAAUAGUGUACUCUCGUACUUCCCGACUUUAAUUAUGUAAAAUUACUUUACCAGCGGCGCACGCUGAUCGAUAGUGCAGUUGUAGACAGAGGGGGAGGGGGACGAAACUACGAGGGGGACGGUUACGAGAAACGUGUUACUUGUUACUUUUUCCCGCGUGCAUACGUAACUGUACACACGUGUAGGCGAGCCUUGCGAGAAUGACUGUAUCGGAAAGCUGUCUCCCCGAUAUUCCGACUGGCUCUCUAGCUUGACCCUCACCAUUCGCUCUCGCCUCUCGUUUCUUCGAUUUUUUACCGCGACCCGCAUGACAUCCGCGCGAGACACGAUGCACCCACGUGUAUUGGUACGGUCCCAGGUAUACGCCGCACGUGGCGCGGCACGAGGAGCAAAACGUGAGUACCUCUCGGGUGUGGUUUUGUUUCUCUUUGGAGAGGAUCGCUCCCGCGUGCAAAGUUUCCCCGUGACUAAUUAGCCGAUUACAAAGACGGAAAUAGCUGCUCUCUCGUUCGAUGAGAGCAAUUCAGAUACAUUGUUAUUUUAUUUGACGUGAAAAGAACUCGAUGUAAAUGUUCAUAUUUUAACACGGAAAUGAUACACGAGAUUGUUAUUCUUUUCUUUUAAAUUAUGAUUGAUAUGAUUGAGAAUAUUCUGCGUAUGUUUAAAAAAAAAUACAAAGUUAAAGUACGAAAAUAUUUUAAAAUUUAUUUUUAAGUAAUUCUGUCAAAAAUAUUAAUUUUUAGAAAUUUGAAAAUAUUGUAAAUUUGUAAAUAAAUAGAUUUUUACAUGAGAAAGCAUAUUUAUCCGGUUCAAACUGUUUGCACGCCGGGUCUCCAACCGCUCUCGUGACAAUAGCGCUACAAUGGUGUUAAAUGACGUUAGUUAAAAAAAAAAACACUGGCUUUAUUGUGUGUAUUAUACUGUGUGAAAACCGUCGUCUAAUUGUCGAUUCAUCUACGAAGGGAUUGCGAAAGUCGUGUCCCGACUUAAAUGCCAAACGAUUUACAAUGACUGCAUGCGCAUGUAAACCGCUUACGUUUACUCCAGGAAGGAGGUCACAUCGUGUGUAUCCUUAUCGGCGACGAGUCGAGGCUGUUGCACCGCGCGGCGGCGGCGGCGUUUCCUACAUCUCGGCCAGCUAUUAUGCGUUUUCUCCCUUGCAUCGGAUGCAUGCCGCGCGUCACAGGUGCGACGUGUACGGUAUACGCGAUCGAAGCGCGCGUUCUCGAUCACACGACGCUCUUUCCGAGGGUCAGCGAGUCUCGGCUAUGAGUACCCUCGUAUUUAUCGACGCCGCCGUGAGGAAAGGAGAAACGUGACUCCCUUGAAGAAAAUUUCAAACGGAUACACAAUAAAAAUAUUCAUCGGCUAAUUAAUAUUCGAUAAAAUGUUUUUCAUCAAUACAUUACGUUAAUUUGUUAAUGUGGUAUAAUUAAGAUAAUUACGGCAGUAAAAAUUUUAGUAAUUUCAUUUUGAAAAGAGAUUCCCUUGAGACCGUAAUAAUAAUAUUUUUCGAGGAUGCUACCGAAAAUUCUCGCGAGAUUUAUAAUGAGGUACGUAAUGUAAAAAUACCGUUGUUCUAGUUUGGAGUACGAAGCGCGUUUUUACAUUUAUCCCUUCUGCAGUACUACCAUGGAGUCUUUUCUAAUUAUGCGAGAGGAUAAAUUAGAGCUCCCUUAGUUUCAAGCUUUGUUCUCUCUCCCAUAUAAUUUUGCAACAUAUUUUACAUAUAGCCUCUGUUAUUCGUAAAGCGAGGAAUUAGUAGAAUAAAGAUUCAGACUUGUAGAUAUUAAUAAGAAAUAAUUAUUCAUUAUUUAAUUUUCAAGAAGAUUUUAUUAUUUAAUUAUUAA